ACUGCCCUAGGAGCCAGAGCAUCUGUGGCAUUUCGUUAGUCUUCAGUAAAGAUCUUCAGUGAGUUACCUACCAUGGGAGUCAGGAUAUCAGCAGCCUCCAAAGUCUGUAAAGGGUUGAGGAGCACAUCUGUUAUGGCAUUUGUCCCUAUGCAGAGAGUCAGUGAAGACAACUGAAACCCUUACAUCACAUUUUUGUGGUCUAUAAAGCUCAUUAAAUAUGAAGCCAUUCCUGUGGGUUUCAGUUAGAACCAGAUUCCAAGAGCACUGAAUGAAAAUAAAAAUUUUACGAUUAUAGAUUUCAUAAAGUUUUUAUU
rnacentral:lncRNA from 1 species